AACGUUAUUGAAUUCCUUCCUCAUCUUGGGAAUAGCUACAAUUGGGUCGUCAACAGUCUUGGUAAGAAUAAAGAGCUUAUCAAAGAUGACAUCCCAUACCUUGGAAUCUUCAGCCAUGAUGAAAUCGUGCAUCCUAGUCUUCCACUAUCCAUGAUAUUGGCCGUUGAACCUAGGUGGUCUGUAAGUAGACUGGCCUUCUUUGAUGUUUGGCGGAGCAGCCAUGAGGAUCCUUUCUAGGUGUUAACCUGAUAGAAAGAAC
rnacentral:lncRNA from 1 species